UUCACCAAAGUCUUAUUCUUAUCUUUUUCCCAUUUUCGUAUCAAAUUGGUACAGAGCUUUGUUCAAAGGGCUUUCCAACUUUAACUUCCUUGUCUCACCGUAGCUGGAUAUAGUCGACGCAAUAGAAGAAGCCAAGAUGAUGAUGGGGCGUGCCAAACAAAUAUUUCAAAGAUUUGAGGAAAGAAUAAGAAGAUAGACUUCACAAGAUUUAGGUAUAGAUAAUCUCUUGUAUUAGGAAGAGAUUGAAAGAUCUUAUUAAAUAAGAGGGCAUAUGAACCUUCAAAUACUUUUAUCAUGUCCUAAUUCUUAUGAUGUUCUUUAUGCGAGGAUUUAUCAUCAUCAAAACUUACUUUUCAUGCAUCCUCCACCGAGUCCCACUAUUCCUCUUAUCUUAUCAGAAAUCAUUGGCUUGUGACCUGCAAUAGACAAACCAAUUGCGAGUCAUAAAACUCGAAAACAGACUUAAGAGAAGUCUAGGAAAUUUGCCUGCACUGUAAGCUAGGUGCAAUGAAGAGACAGAGACAGAUAGUUAGAGAGAGAGAGAGAGAGAGAGUGCUGUAACUUGAGGCAACUUGAUGUUGAUGAUGCUUGCGAAGUGUAUGCUGCUGAUUUGAACCACACAAAAGAUGCGUGCUGCUAAUGGACACUGAGUGAAGGAAAUAAUGUUCUUAUCUGUGGAAGUUGGAAGUUGGGAUCUCAAGCACGGCAAUAACGCGGAAGUUACUGUCCCACUACAGUACCAUUUGGUCGAUGGAAUCUUCCUCCAAAAUCCCAAAGAACACGAGGGACAGGGAAGAGCAGUGGUUGGCAUGGGAAAGGAAUGGGAAGCCCACAUGAAUCCUCCACAAACACAAACACACACACACACUCUCUCUCUUGACAUCUUCUUAUCCAAGAUAUGCUCGGAGUAUCUUGAGGUGCCCAAGAUGAGGGGCAAGGGAGAUGAAGCCAACCUCGACCAUGCACACCCACAUCCUACUUCUCCUACCUCCACUCUCUCUAUGUUGCCACAAUUGCCUCCAUAGCUUUUCAAGGAGACCUACUGGACAAAGAGAG
rnacentral:lncRNA from 1 species